rnacentral:rRNA from 1 species
GAGUUUGAUCCUGGCUCAGGAUGAACGCUGGCGGCGUGCCUAAUACAUGCAAGUCGAGCGAACAGAUAAGGAGCUUGCUCCUUUGACGUUAGCGGCGGACGGGUGAGUAACACGUGGGUAACCUACCUAUAAGACUGGAAUAACUCCGGGAAACCGGGGCUAAUGCCGGAUAAUAUUUAGAACCGCAUGGUUCUAAAGUGAAAGAUGGUUUUGCUAUCACUUAUAGAUGGACCCGCGCCGUAUUAGCUAGUUGGUGGGGUAAUGGCUUACCAAGGCAACGAUACGUAGCCGACCUGAGAGGGUGAUCGGCCACACUGGAACUGAGACACGGUCCAGACUCCUACGGGAGGCAGCAGUAGGGAAUCUUCCGCAAUGGGCGAAAGCCUGACGGAGCAACGCCGCGUGAGUGAUGAAGGUCUUCGGAUCGUAAAACUCUGUUAUUAGGGAAGAACAAAUGUGUAAGUAACUGUGCACGUCUUGACGGUACCUAAUCAGAAAGCCACGGCUAACUACGUG